UUUUUGGAGAGUUUGAUUCUGGCUCAGAACGAACGCUGGCGGCGUGGAUAAGACAUGCAAGUCGAACGGAAUAAAUGAGGUAGUAAUAUCUUGUUUGUUCAGUGGCGAACGGGUGCGUAACACGUGGAUACAUUCCGGGAAGCGGGGGAUAGCCCAGGGAAACUUGGAUUAAUACCGCAUGUGGUCGAAAGACUAAAGACGGGGAUCGAAAGACCUGUCACUUCCUGAUUGGUCCGCGGCCUAUCAGCUAGUUGGUGAGGUAAUGGCUCACCAAGGCUACGACGGGUAGCUGGUCUAAGAGGACGACCAGCCACACUGGAACUGAGACACGGUCCAGACACCUACGGGUGGCAGCAGUCGAGAAUCUUUCACAAUGGGGGCAACCCUGAUGGAGCGACGCCGCGUGGAGGAUAAGGUCUUCGGAUUGUAAACUCCUGU
rnacentral:rRNA from 1 species